AAAAAAAAAAAAAAAAAAAAAAAAAAAAAAAAAAAAAAAAAAGAUACACUUAAUAUGUAUGUAUAUCUCUAUACAUACUAUACCAAUAGACCAUUCUACAAAAGAAAACCAUUUAAAACGUUUCAAUCAAACAUUUGUAUUAUUCAAGUAUAAAUUUCUGCCUUCAAAGGGAUCCCAAUUGCUCUUCACCCUUUCUAUUGACUCUCGAGACCUGCGCCCUCCUAUUUUUGGUAUCUUCGUGGACGCGAAUACAUUCUCAUAAAUUUUUAACUUUGCAUUCUCAAUUUUGCAUGAAUAAUUGACAAUUAAAAAUAGCGCAACUUUGGAUGGUUUUUAUUUAUUUAUGGCUCAACGAAUUAACCAAUUUUAUCAUGUGACGUCUCAUUUAAUAGAUAUUUUUGACACUUACAAUUUUUAUUCCACUAAAGUAUGUCAACUAAAGUGAAUUUCCACGAUUCAGUAAUAUUUGGUAAUUUGAGAAGCACCAUGGAAGAUAAGAAAUUCAAUAUUUGUUUACAGCGUUUAUAGCAACCUAAUAGUCGAUAGCUAUCAACUCUGGUUCACUUGAAUUUUUAGGAACUGACGAAUUUAUAAUAUUUUACAAAAGUAACUCACCUCAUAUGCAAGGUCAUUGAAUUCGUCUCUUUUCCUAAGAUAAGAACCUACAAAACUUUUUCGUAGAAUCGUAUGAUUAAAUAGGUUCUUAUCUAUGCUAAUGUGCAACCAAAAUUUCUAAUUAAGCUUAAAUAUAUAGUUUCUUGUAUAUGCUAAAUUAGGACUAAACAGGGCAGAAUCCUAAUUUUAUAUGUUCUUGAGUAUGCUAAUUUUAGUUAAUUCAGCACAUGACCACAUGGUCCAACACCUGUACGUGAAACAACCAGAACUACGGGCGCGAGCACUUCCAUUUCUUCUCUGGUACUUCGUAAUGACUACAUUAGAGUACAUAUUUCAAGCGAAAGGGAAAUAAUUUUAGCACUUAAUAUUUUUUAUUUACAUUUUAAGUGUCCCAAACUUAAACGACCAUACUGUGAGAACU